rnacentral:rRNA from 1 species
AACAAACGCUGGCGGCGUGCCUAUCACAUGCAAGUCGUACGAGAAAGGGUCCUUCGGGGCCUGAGUAAAGUGGCGCACGGGUGAGUAACGCGUGGGUAAUCUGCCCUUCAGUUGGGAAUAACUCAUCGAAAGGUGGGCUAAUACCGAAUAAUGCUGUGAGACCUCGGUUGAUCAGCCAAAGAGAGCCUCUGCUUGCAAGCCCUCGCUGAAGGAUGAGUCCGCGUACCAUUAGCUAGUUGGUAGGGUAAUGGCCUACCAAGGCGGCGAUGGUUAGCUGGGCUGCGAGGAGGAUCGGCCACACUGGAACUGAGACACGGCCCAGACUCCUACGGGAGGCAGCAGUGAGGAAUCUUGCGCAAUGGGGGCAACCCUGACGCAGCAACGCCGCGUGAGUGAGGAAGGUCUUCGGAUCGUAAAGCUCUGUCGGAUGGAAAGAACCGCAUAGGGGUAAACAGCCCCUGUGUCUGACGGUACCAUCAAAGGAAGCACCGGCUAACUCCGUGCCAGCCGCCGCGGUAACAC